ACGGCUCAGUAACACGUGGAUAACCUGCCCUUGGGUCCGGCAUAACCCCGGGAAACUGGGGAUAAUUCCGGAUAACGCACAUAUGCUGGAAUGCUUUAUGCGUAAAAUGGAUUCGUCUGCCCAAGGAUGGGUCUGCGGCCUAUCAGGUAGUAGUGGGUGUAAUGUACCUACUAGCCUACAACGGGUACGGGUUGUGAGAGCAAGAGCCCGGAGAUGGAUUCUGAGACAUGAAUCCAGGCCCUACGGGGCGCAGCAGGCGCGAAAACUUUACAAUGCGGGAAACCGUGAUAAGGGGACACCGAGUGCCAGCAUCAUAUGCUGGCUGUCCAGGUGUGUAAAAUACACCUGUUAGCAAGGGCCGGGCAAGACCGGUGCCAGCCGCCGCGGUAACACCGGCGGCCCGAGUGGUGAUCGUGAUUAUUGGGUCUAAAGGGUCCGUAGCCGGUUUGGUCAGUCCUCCGGGAAAUCUGACGGCUUAACCGUUAGGCUUUCGGGGGAUACUGCCAGGCUUGGAACCGGGAGAGGUAAGAGGUACUACAGGGGUAGGAGUGAAAUCUUGUAAUCCCUGUGGGACCACCUGUGGCGAAGGCGUCUUACCAGAACGGGUUCGACGGUGAGGGACGAAAGCUGGGGGCACGAACCGGAUUAGAUACCCGGGUAGUCCCAGCCGUAAACGAUGCUCGCUAGGUGUCAGGCAUGGCGCGACCGUGUCUGGUGCCGCAGGGAAGCCGUGAAGCGAGCCACCUGGGAAGUACGGCCGCAAGGCUGAAACUUAAAGGAAUUGGCGGGGGAGCACAAU
rnacentral:rRNA from 1 species